rnacentral:misc_RNA from 1 species
GAUGUGUAUAAGAGACAGGUGAAUCAUCGAAUCUUUGAACGCAUAUUGCGCCCUUUGGCAUUCCGAAGGGCAUACCUGUUCGAGCGUCAUUACACCCCCUCAAGUCAAACUUUUUGGUUAACUUGACGUUGGGCAUUGCCUCGGGGGCAUGCCUAAAAGUCAAUGAUGGUACGUCAAACCACGGGCACAUAAAUGUUGUCACGUUGCGGCGGCGGCACCAGUCUCGCGAUUAAUUUCUCCAUGUUGACCUCGGAUCAGGUAGGGAUACCCGCUGAACUUAAGCAUAUCAAUAAGCGGAGG